GUAAGCCCGGGCCCCGGCCCGCCCCCGCCGCCCUGGCACCGAAGCAGCGGCCGGAGCGCGCUCGGCGGCUGCGCUCCGAGGCGCCGGCUGCCAUGAUUGCGGGCAGCGGAGCGCGCGCGCGCACGCUCGGGCCCGGCUUGGGGACCCGGGGCGGACCGACGGUCUCUAGUCCGACCGCAGCCCAGCCCGGCGGCGGAGUGGCGGCUAGACCUCCGGCCUCCUCCCUGCGAGGCUAGGGCUCGCCGCGGAGCGCUAGACGAAGCUCUAGGACACGGCUUGGGAUCGCGGGUGGCAGCGGGCUUCCCCCAGGGCACGGGGCGCCUGAGUGAUUCCUGGCGCUUGGGGACGCCGACACGGGGUCACCCUGCAUGGACCCCAUCCCCCUACCCGGGGCAUGCCCUCUCUCAGAGCCAAAUGGGCCUGGUUGUACCCAGUGCCCGCGACAAGGGCCCAAGUGAAACGAGGCCUCCUGGGCCCCAUCCCAGUGUCUCUCUGUGCCUGUCUCUCCCCACCCCCCCCACCCCAGCCGGCCUUGGCAUUCUAACCAGUGUCCCUUGACGUCACAUCUCGCCAUCUCUGUCAACCAAUUAAAACUUGCCCGUUG
ensembl:lncRNA